GGGAAAACCGCAGGCCGAGAGACACGAAGAGAGAGGGAGCCCCGAGAUGAGGGGUUGAUCGGGGAGAGAGAAGGUGACGCGUAAGGAAGAGUGCGACGGACUCCGGCAUCACCUCGACCGGAGAGCAUCUUUUCGUCCGGUCACGGUAGAGAGGAGCCAACACCACCACGAACAAAACACCUAACCGAGACCCUAGUUUUUCCUUUCAUGGCUUUUUCUACUGCAGCUUCCUUUGAUGAAGAAAACCGCAAGUCAAACUUCAUCUUCAUCAUCACCCAUUAGCGUUCGUCGUCAUCAUCACAAAAGCUCCACAUGCCCCCUCCCACCUGCAAAAGAAGCUGGCAGAAAAAAACAAAGUCUGUCGACGAAGACGAACGAGGAAGGUUUAAAAUGCCUUCCCCUAAAACGGUGGCGUUUUAAGGAGAGCAUUAAUUACUUUACCCCAACGACGGCGUAGUUGGGCUUUCUCAACCCUGGCAACACAUUAGGCCCAAGGAAAGAAAUGAAAAAUGGAGGGAAAGAAAAGAAAAGGAAAAAGGGCUGAAUCCUUUUUAGGCCUGACCCAAGUGGAAAACAGAUAAGGAUAUAGGAAAGGAGAAGGGAAGAAAAAGGAAAAGCAUGGGUUCGGUUGACUUUGGCCCAUUUUCUUUAUCCUUUCCCUAUAUCUUUUUCUACAUGGGUGAUCCAAUGUAAGUAGUGGGAGAAAAGGACACUUUUUGCCGGUGAAAAUGUCUUUGGAUGUUAGACAACCUAAUACCCAGAAGAAUUCUAAUAAAUAUCAUGGUCAUAUUUUGGUA